UCUGGUAGGAGGUGGUUGUGUGAGUGUUACAUGUCGUAGGCGGCAUCCAUGUUUGAUGGCAUGUUCCCUUCUCCAUCUCUGCAGUCUCAGCAUCAGCUGCUUCAUCCUCAUCCCGUUUCCCCGCCAGACCUCAAUCCCAAGAUGCCUUGCAGCUCACAUGUGCGCCGCAUGAUGCAGGCCUUCAUGGCCGGUGUGGCAUCUGGUCACCAGGAGGUGCUGCCUCCCAUACCCCCACAACAGCAGCCGCAGCACCUCAGAGCCACCUGCUCCUCCUCCUACUGCUCUUUCUUGCCUGCAGUUGUCCAGGGCGACCCAGCCUUGCCACAGCUGUUGCUAGGCGAGAGAGCAUCCUCCUUAAAAACCUGGUGCCCCACGUCCCAGAGGCAGGAGAAAAAAGACAGGCCUUGACCAUGCCCAUCCACUGGAGCCACUCCCCCACAAAGCAGCUCCUGGUGGCGUUGCCAACGGCAGCAGUGUCUCCAUGGCACCCACUUCACCUGUUGUCUCCAAAGCAACUGCCGUCAGUCAGAAGAAAGUGAGGAAGAUCAAGGCCAGGACUGUGUCAAAGCUGUUCAACAGCAGUCCCCAGGACAACAAAAACAACAGUGGCCAAAAUCAUAACGAGUGCAUGCUGGAGUCCGUAAAUAACCUGCAGGAGGUGCAGAGAUUAGGGAGCGCAUUAGUCAUGAGGCCCUGCGUGUCGCUGAGGAGAUCAGACACACCAGUCUCCGUGGUAACAGUGGCCUCAACCGCUCUGUAAGUGUCUGCACAGAAAUCUCGGCGGGUAGCCUCCGCCCUGUGCACAUCAGGACCCCGUUGGAGCUGCACACUCUGCCCUUGCUCAGGACCCUGCGUCUUCCCACUGCCCCCGCACCCCCACAGCAACCAAUAGCGAACAGUUCCGCAGUAGACUGCCUCGCCUCAAGAAGGUCAUUCUGUAUAGCUACUGCUGUGGAAGCUACUGCAGGAGUGGAUGGAAGAAGAGACGUCUCGGAUGGAAGGGGACAGGCGCCGGAGCAGAGCCUACCGCAGAAGGAGACACAGAUACUUACGAAGCAGCCAGAAGGAAACUUCCAAAGGCAAUGAGGAAAAACUCCCUCACCUCUGAGGAUGAGGGAGGAAAAAGAGAGA